UACAGAGGGGGCAAGCGUUGUUCGGAAUUACUGGGCGUAAAGGGCGCGUAGGCGGCCGCCUAAGUCAGACGUGAAAUCCCCGGGCUCAACCUGGGAACUGCAUUUGUGACUGCAAGGCUGGAGUGCGGCAGAGGGGGAUGGAAUUCCGCGUGUAGCAGUGAAAUGCGUAGAUAUGCGGAGGAACACCGAUGGCGAAGGCAAUCCCCUGGGCCUGCACUGACGCUCAUGCACGAAAGCGUGGGGAGCAAACAGG
rnacentral:rRNA from 1 species